GAUGAACGCUGGCGGCGUGCCUAAUACAUGCAAGUCGAGCGAACAGAUGAGGAGCUUGCUCCUCUGACGUUAGCGGCGGACGGGUGAGUAACACGUGGAUAACCUACCUAUAAGACUGGGAUAACUUCGGGAAACCGGAGCUAAUACCGGAUAAUAUAUUGAACCGCAUGGUUCAAUAGUGAAAGACGGUUUUGCUGUCACUUAUAGAUGGAUCCGCGCCGCAUUAGCUAGUUGGUAAGGUAACGGCUUACCAAGGCAACGAUGGGUAGCCGACCCGAGAGGGGGAUCCGCCACACUGGAACUGAGACACGGUCCAGACUCCUACGGGAGGCAGCAGUAGGGAAUCUUCCGCAAUGGGCGAAAGCCUGACGGAGCAACGCCGCGUGAGUGAUGAAGGUCUUCGGAUCGUAAAACUCUGUUAUUAGGGAAGAACAAAUGUGUAAGUAACUAUGCACGUCUUGACGAUACCUAAUCAGAAAGCCACGGCUAACUACGUG
rnacentral:rRNA from 1 species